rnacentral:piRNA from 1 species
UCCUCUUUAACGGUCUUCAUGGAGCCAUCAU